AUGGGUAUACACCCUAUUCGAACCCGGUCAAACCCGAAAAAUAGGGUUUGACUGGGUUUGGGUAAAACCCGAAAAUUAUAGUACGGGUAUGGGUAGUACUAUUUUCUACUCGAACCCGACCCGAACCUAUGGAUAUGGAUAAUAUCCGAACCCAUAUCCGAAUAUAUAUAUACAUAUAUAUAUAUAUAUAUACAUAUAUAUAUAUAUAUAUAUACA
rnacentral:lncRNA from 1 species